rnacentral:rRNA from 1 species
UACGUAGGGGGCAAGCGUUAUCCGGAAUUACUGGGCGUAAAGCGCACGCAGGCGGUUCGCCAAGUUUGGCGUGACAGUUGUCGGCUCAACCGACAAAGGACUUCAAAAACUGGUGAACUUGAGGACGAGAGAGGAGCAUGGAACUCCAGGUGUAGUAGUGAAAUGCGUAGAUAUCUGGAAGAACACCAAUGGCGAAGGCAAUGUUCUGGCUCGUUUCUGACGCUCAGGUGCGAAAGCCAGGGGAGCGAACGGG